AACUCUCGGCAACGGAUAUCUUGGCUCUCGCAUCGAUGAAGAACGCAGCGAAAUGUGAUAUGUGGUGUGAAUUGCAGAAUCCCGUGAACCAUUGAGUAUUUGAACGCAAGUUGCGCUCGAGGCAGCUAGCCGAGGGCGUGCCUGCCUGGGCGUCUUUCGAACGUUCGCUCCUCCUU
rnacentral:rRNA from 2 species